AUUUACGAAUGUGUGAUUAUUCACAUUUCAUAGACCAACGCGAUAUUAAAUAAUUUUGUUCUGUUUUCAGUGCAAAAAAAACGAAGAUUAAAGAGCAUCACUUCAUGCUCGUAGUUAUGGCAAGUGGAGGGACUAGAAAGUGCACCGUACUUAGCAACAAUAGGUUGCAACUGUAGCUGAGUGCACUUUAGAACGCUUGGAUUUCAUUUGCAUAUCCUCUGCGACGAGCGGCGCGAAGACGGGGUUCAAGUCGCUUCUGUCUAUGCAGCCUGGGAAGUGCAGCUACGAAUGUUUAUUAUGUUAAACAUCCUCGGCGAACCGUGCUUGUACACUCUGGAACAAUACUCGCCGCGUAAAGCUACGCUGUCAGAUUGUCUAAGUAUGCUACUGCCUGCGUGGAUGUCGCUGUUGCUCACUCGUUGCCCGCCGUCACUGUUUCAGCGAACGAAAACUCCGCGUUUUCUCAUCCGAGACGCAUGGCAACGAAUUCUUAUAUCAACACUAGAACUACCGAAUCGGUGAAAAUGACUGGUUUCCGAUUUUUCAUUUUACAGUUCCUCUGAUAUUAUAAAAAUACUUCCAGGAGAAAUUUGUAGGUGCUGCGCAGAAUGGAAAUGCAGCCGACGAUGCAUCCGCUCGACAGCAGAAACGCGAAAAGACACGUGCCGUAAUUAUUAAUUAAUGUUUCGCCGAAGUAUCCGCAUGGUUUCCGAGUCCGCUUCGGCGAGUCAACUUUUUAGUCUUUGAUAAUUAGAAACAUUAAUUACUGCGAUAAAUACAACAUUUCUUAAUGCAAUUAGAAGAUUCUCUGUCGUAGAAAUGAAUUACAAAUCUUAUUACUGUUCUGAAUAUAAAAUUGAAGCGCAAAGAUCUGCAGUCUUAAUUGUGCGAUAUUUUACCAAUCGUUGCAAUUUUCGUU